CAACCUACAUCACUGAGUCCGAGCAACGCUCGGAGCGGGGGAGCACUAGGGUGGGGUGAAUGGGCCGGUCGGCCCUAGGGUGACUUUCACAUCCGAACCCGUCAACUAACCUCGCAAGUGUCACGAAAGAGGACGA
rnacentral:sRNA from 1 species